rnacentral:rRNA from 1 species
GAUGAACGCUGGCGGCGUGCCUAAUACAUGCAAGUCGAGCGAACGGACGAGAAGCUUGCUUCUCUGAUGUUAGCGGCGGACGGGUGAGUAACACGUGGAUAACCUACCUAUAAGACUGGGAUAACUUCGGGAAACCGGAGCUAAUACCGGAUAAUAUUUUGAACCGCAUGGUUCAAAAGUGAAAGACGGUCUUGCUGUCACUUAUAGAUGGAUCCGCGCUGCAUUAGCUAGUUGGUAAGGUAACGGCUUACCAAGGCAACGAUGCAUAGCCGACCUGAGAGGGUGAUCGGCCACACUGGAACUGAGACACGGUCCAGACUCCUACGGGAGGCAGCAGUAGGGAAUCUUCCGCAAUGGGCGAAAGCCUGACGGAGCAACGCCGCGUGAGUGAUGAAGGUCUUCGGAUCGUAAAACUCUGUUAUUAGGGAAGAACAUAUGUGUAAGUAACUGUGCACAUCUUGACGGUACCUAAUCAGAAAGCCACGGCUAACUACGUGCCAGCAGCCGCGGUAAUACGUAGGUGGCAAGCGUUAUCCGGAAUUAUUGGGCGUAAAGCGCGCGUAGGCGGUUUUUUAAGUCUGAUGUGAAAGCCCACGGCUCAACCGUGGAGGGUCAUUGGAAACUGGAAAACUUGAGUGCAGAAGAGGAAAGUGGAAUUCCAUGUGUAGCGGUGAAAUGCGCGGAGAUAUGGAGGAACACCAGUGGCGAAGGCGACUUUCUGGUCUGUAACUGACGCUGAUGUGCGAAAGCGUGGGGAUCAAACAGGAUUAGAUACCCUGGUAGUCCACGCCGUAAACGAUGAGUGCUAAGUGUUAGGGGGUUUCCGCCCCUUAGUGCUGCAGCUAACGCAUUAAGCACUCCGCCUGGGGAGUACGACCGCAAGGUUGAAACUCAAAGGAAUUGACGGGGACCCGCACAAGCGGUGGAGCGUGUGGUUUAAUUCGAAGCAACGCGAAGAACCUUACCAAAUCUUGACAUCCUUUGACAACUCUAGAGAUAGAGCUUUCCCCUUCGGGGGACAAAGUGACAGGUGGUGCAUGGUUGUCGUCAGCUCGUGUCGUGAGAUGUUGGGUCAAGUCCCGCAACGAGCGCAACCCUUAAGCUUAGUUGCCAUCAUUAAGUUGGGCACUCUAAGUUGACUGCCGGUGACAAACCGGAGGAAGGUGGGGAUGACGUCAAAUCAUCAUGCCCCUUAUGAUUUGGGCUACACACGUGCUACAAUGGACAAUACAAAGGGCAGCGAAACCGCGAGGUCAAGCAAAUCCCAUAAAGUUGUUCUCAGUUCGGAUUGUAGUCUGCAACUCGACUACAUGAAGCUGGAAUCGCUAGUAAUCGUAGAUCAGCAUGCUACGGUGAAUACGUUCCCGGGUCU